rnacentral:lncRNA from 1 species
CACCCCCACCCAGAAGUCUCCAGGUUCUGCUUUGUGGAUUGGAGGCCCCAGUUGGUGCUGUUCUGGCUUCUGCAUGGGAACGGUUUGGGGGAACGCAAGAAAAGGGGUCCUGGGGUUCUCCAAGGUGCAAAGGAUGGAAACUUGGCCCGGGGCAGGCAAGGAGAGGGCGCAGGGGGUUGGCCUGGCUUAGGCUGCAAAGGGAGAGCAGCUGGGUGCUGGUGAGCUGCCUCAGGCCAAGCUUUUGUAAAUCACAUGCAAAUCCUCUGGCCCAGGUAUCCGUACCUGUGACUGGGUGGCACAGAGCCUGUAACUGUAAAGCCAUGUUGAUUGAAUAAGUGAGUGACUGAAUUCUCCUUGGGGUCUCCAGCCACAGGUCUCAGGGCUCCCAUUCCAAGGAGAAGGUCUUUACCUGCCUCCCUGUUUUCUUCCCCCCGCAGCCCAUCUUCUUAGACCUCUCUCCUUAACCUCUGGGUCUCCAGGGGCGCUAUCCUGACAUAGAGAUAGGCCCCUGGAGGUCUAGGUCACCUCUCCCUCCAGGCAGAGCCAGUUCUGGUUGGAGAGGUGGCCCUCCUAUCCCCUGAAGUCUCCCCUCCCACUCCUGGGGCCGUGAAACUCCAGCUCCUCAGCCAGCCCUCACCCCAGCUGUGAGCAGGGCAGCCUCAGAGAGAAGGCCAGCCUGCGUCUGGGAACCUGAGUCCUAGGUGUUCGAUUCGACAGGGACCUGGCAUUGGUUGAACGAGCGAAGGAUUGAAGAUAGGGUGACAGGACCAAAGGCUGGGAGGAGCGGGUUGCUUCCCUGAGCUUGGGGUGCAGAGGGAACAAGAAGCUUCCAGUUGGCUAGGGCGAGGGUGCGUGAUGGAGGGAAGCAGUACCACAAACACCAGGGACCCUUGGAGACGGUUUUCAGUGGCAGCUGGGAGCUGAGAGGCCAGGGACAGCACCCUCUUCAAACUGCACCCGAGCCUGAUCUUAGCUGUCUCCUUGCUGCUUUCUUCCUUGGGUGACUGUCUUUUCUGCCACUUUUGUGAGCAGUACGUUUAUUUUUCGCUUAUGUUAACCAGAGGUCGGUUUCUGUUGUUUGAGUCUUAGAACCCUGCCCGGUGCCCCUGACCCCACCCUCAUCAUGGCAGAGGGAGGAUGAGGUAAGGUCCUGCGUGGGAAGUGCCAGAUUCAUAGCGGCGAUUAGACAAAGGCCAUUGUCUUCCCCUUGCACUCCCCACAGUGACUUGCUUCUGCCCUUAUCUAGAAUAGAGUUGGUCUCUGACGGUGCUGGCCCGUGGGCUCAUCAGGUCUGAGGGGGAACAGCGCCUCCUGGUGGCCAGAGUGCAGAUCCCAAGGGGAAGGGGAGGCGAUGGGGCUGGAGGC